UAGGGAAUCUUCCACAAUGGACGCAAGUCUGAUGGAGCAACGCCGCGUGAGUGAAGAAGGUUUUCGGAUCGUAAAGCUCUGUUGUUGGUGAAGAAGGAUAGAGGCAGUAACUGGUCUUUAUUUGACGGUAAUCAACCAGAAAGUCACGGCUAACUACGUGCCAGCAGCCGCGGUAAUACGUAGGUGGCAAGCGUUGUCCGGAUUUAUUGGGCGUAAAGCGAGCGCAGGCGGAAUGACAAGUCUGAUGUGAAAGCCCACGGCUCAACCGUGGAACUGCAUCGGAAACUGUCAUUCUUGAGUGCAGAAGAGGAGAGGGGAAUUCCAUGUGUAGCGGUGGAAUGCGUAGAUAUAUGGAAGAACACCAGUGGCGAAGGCGGCUCUCUGGUCUGCAACUGACGCUGAGGCUCGAAAGCAUGGGUAGCGAACAGG
rnacentral:rRNA from 1 species